UACGUAGGUCCCGAGCGUUGUCCGGAUUUAUUGGGCGUAAAGCGAGCGCAGGUGGUUUAUUAAGUCUGGUGUAAAAGGCAGUGGCUCAACCAUUGUAUGCAUUGGAAACUGUAGACUUGAGUGCAGGAGAGGAGAGUGGAAUUCCAUGUGUAGCGGUGAAAUGCGUAGAUAUAUGGAGGAACACCGGUGGCGAAAGCGGCUCUCUGGCCUGUAACUGACACUGAGGCUCGAAAGCGUGGGGAGCAAACAGG
rnacentral:rRNA from 1 species